AACUGAAGGAAUACACAGAAGGGGGCACCACUUCUUUUUUUUUUGAGGGAGUAGGCCUGCUUUGAUCUGUUUUAUGUAAUGAGGCUCCAUUCAAGAUCCUGCCUGGGCUAUAGGAUACUCCAUUUAAAAGAUCCGAAGCCGGAGUUCUUGAUGACACAAAGUAUUAAGAAGAAUUACCCUCUGAAGUCCAGGAAGCAAGACAGGCUUGAGUUCUCCUAGGCUACCCUGUGAGACACGGAAGGAAGACAUAUAAAAAGGGCGUGCUGAGUGAUGAAGCUGGCCUCCCGAGCAAAGAGCACGGGUAGCUUUGUUUAAAGAUAUCUGUGAAGUUGCUUCAGGCAGGGAGCAAAUUUGCUUAUUCUCCAGGAUAAUAAGGUAGUUUUCCUGCUGCUUUGGAGAUAAUCCAGGGUAAUAAAGAUAAUAUCUCCCUCUGAGUCAGCAGGCAGAUUUGUUUUCUGAUCAGGAUAUAUAAAGAUAAUGUGGCUCUCUGUAGGGGUGGAUGAACAGGUUUCCUAAUAGCUCCUUUAAUAGCUUAGUGUUUCCUAAACUGGAGGUUCCCUGCCUAUGCUCUAUCCACAGGGCAUGCAGGGCCUAGCUGGACCUAAGUCGUCUGCAUCACUGUCAUGGGACUUGAGGGGCAAGAGGAACCACUGUGAACACGAAGCUCAUGCUGUUUGCAGUGCCAAGUGUAAUAAACAGUUCACAUCCACGUGGGCGAAUUGUCUCUGUACUGGCUGCACCUAUGGAAGCUUGGCAAACUGACCUAGCAGCUGCAAUGAUGGCUGCUGUUCAGGAUCAGCUUGGCUGCUUGACAGGUAGAGGAAAUUGGACACAGACAUUUCAGGAGACCAUGUGAAGACAGGAAGACAACAGACAUCUAGAAGCCAGGCAGAGAGGUAAUCCUGUGUACACCCUGAUCCCUGUCUUUUAAUCUUCUGAACUGUGAGAAAAUAAACUUCUGUUUAAUCCA